GCUUAGGAAUGAAGCAGAGGUCACACUGUCUGUGACAAAGGGCGUACCAGCUUUUGGAACUGUUCACGUGGACAGACACCUGGAUAAAAGUAUAACCAACAAGGCCCCGCUGUGGGAUAGGACUGUUAUCCUCAGGCCUGUAACCAUCCAUCCGGACCUCAGUUCUCUGGAUCCUCUGCUUGGGAGGUCUCCUUCCCCCAAAAGGGACAUCGUGGCCCAGCUUGGCAGGGAGCUGGGAAGCCAAUGCUGACGAGAGGUGACCCCACCUUGAACUCUGCUGGCAAGGAAGUGCGGUCCAUAAGGAGAACAGGAGUCUGGGCUUCUUCACUCUCUUGGCCGGAUUUAUUGCCUUGAGAUGGUGAUGCUGUGUGGGUAAGAAAAAAACCCGCUUUCCCCAGGAACCACAGAGUGGCCCUGCGAGCC
rnacentral:lncRNA from 1 species